rnacentral:misc_RNA from 1 species
UCGCAGCGCAGCACAGUGCUCGCAAAUGAGUAGCCGCUGUCGCCGCCGCAGCAGCAGAGGCAGCAGUUGGCAUGCAACGUCGGCACUUUCGCACCAAAUUGUAAGUAGGUAGUAACGUACAUAUCUCAUUGAAGAAGUCAUCUUCGUGCCUUACCGACGUGCUUGUUCCACAGACCGUAAUCUGUAGCAGAGUAGUAAGCAACCGUUUAUUUUCGUCUCGCAGUUAGUUAAAUUGCAUUGUCGUAUACAUACACGUAGUUUACAUACCUACAUGCAAUACAAUAAACGCAUAAAUAACACACAUGCAUACAUACGCGUACUAAUUACAGCUGAAAACGUAAAAUACCUGUGUAUACAUUGCCAAAGUGUUAACUAGUUUGCAACGUUAAGUUGAAUCGAUCUUUAAUUUUUCUGAAAAAAUAUAUUUAAUUUAACGCGUACUUUUUUGUUGUGUUGAGUGCUUGUCGCAAGCCAGAAAUAUUUAUUUCGCAUCUGGAUCACGAAUAUUCCACAGGAAUUCCGUCCAUAAAAGAAUCAGCCCACCAAAGCCAACGCCAACGCCAACGCCUACAAACAUAUGCUCACACACACACACACACACACAAAGUGAAGUGCAGUUGUAUGAGUAGUUGGCAGCAAAAAUAGCAGCGAGAAGGUGUUGAAACAACAACAAAUUGUGUAGUAAAUAACAACAACAACGCGUGCCGUACAAAUAUUAACACGACAGUCAAUGUACAUACAUAUGUAUAUGUAUAUGAGAGUACAUCAUAAAAAGUAGCAACAGCAACGGCAACACACAUCGUGUAAACGACUACUAAAACGUUGAUAAAACAACAACAACAACAACAGCAACAACAGCGGCGACAGUUAAAAAUUGAGUUUGCGAUUAGCAAGUAAAUUAAAGCGUCAAAGCCUAGCAUUCUAAAUCACUUCGCUGCCUGCACCGCAUACAGUUACAAAAGCAACAAACAUCGCUACAAAAUUACUUUAAAAACUACGCCAGCCCACCCCGUGCAUAGUAGAAAAAGUGCUCUUUUUCUCUAGUGUAGAUAUCAAACUCUUAUCGCUCGCAAUCGCACCAAUACAUCAACGGCACCUAGUACCAAUACAUACGUGUACAUACAUGCAUAGCAGCUGCCACGAAUAACAACAAUUUUACUGCCCACCACACUGUGUGACCAACCCCACCACGAUUACACGCACCACUUACCGCUUGGUAAGUAGUAAAAAAGCGAGUGACGAGCAUACGAGCGCAACGAUAACUCAAACGCUCGCAAUUAACGCGCACUCAGUAGUUGUCAACACGCCGCGCGUCGCACCGACAGUUGAUCUGUGCAUUUGAGAAAAAGCGCUUCAGGCACCGCACGCCGCGCACAGUUGCCGCCAACAAGUGUUCGAAAAGCGCAAGCGAGUGCGAGUAAUUAGCUCCCCCGCUUGCUGAUCGAUUAACGGUAAUAUAGAAACUACUUGGGUUUCAUUUAACUUGUGGGACGUACGUCCGAGCGAGUGUGCAUAGCAAAAUUGCCAGUGUGAUUUGUGAGCGCUGAGCGUAAAAUUCGCUAAUCAGCAAGUCAAGCGCGUACAAAAAAAAAAAAAAAUCAAAAGAUAUAAAUACAAAUACAGUGACACCCCAAAGUCACAUAUACAAGUACAUUUAUAGUGCAGCAGCAGCGGCAGCAACAGCAAGAGCAAAGCCAAAAGCAACGACAAAAUGUUCGCUGUAAUGAGAAUCGACAACGAUGACUGCCGGUCGGAUUUCCGCCGCAAGAUGCGUCCAAAGUGUGAGUUCAUUUGCAAAUAUUGCCAGCGGCGUUUCACCAAACCCUACAAUCUGAUGAUACACGAACGCACCCACAAAUCACCGGAGAUAACGUAUUCCUGCGAGGUUUGCGGCAAAUAUUUCAAGCAACGCGACAACCUGCGUCAACACAGAUGUAGUCAAUGUGUAUGGCGAUAAACAGCAAAAAAAAAACUAAAAAAAUAAAAAAUAAAAUCGCCUGCUCAAGUUUAAGCACUUCUCCUCUCAUGCACUUAAAUUUAAAAAAGAAAAAAUAAGCAAUAUGCAAAAAACAUCUUACAUACAUAAAUCAAAAGCACAGCGAAGAUAUAGAAAAAUUUAAAGCACAAACGCACGCACGCCUACAUAUAUGUAAAGAAAAUGCACGCACUAUUUGCGAAACAACCACAAUAAAAAAAGAUUAAAUUAAUAAAUUAAAAAAGAAACAGAAAUAUGAAGAAGGCUUUAUACUGCAAAGGCUUUUGAGCUUAAGAUGGAAACUAGCUACUCUGGUCUUCUCUGGUUGGUGAAAGGUGACACUUUGGCUUACAAAUGGUUUAAAUGAAAACGAAAAAGAAAACUCUUUUGGUGAUUGGUUUGGUUUUAUUGACAGCAACGCCCGCGGCUAGUUAAUGGAAGGAAGUCCUGUAAAUAUAUACAUAUGUAUGUACUUUAGUGCCGAGGCAUUGACUGGCAACUUGUAUGCACAUGGAUACCUGUGGACGCAUUUACUAAACAACAAAAACAAAUUUAAUGAUUAAACAAGGCAAAUAUGAUGUUGAGAUUUUGAAAUUUUUCCAAAAGAAAGUGCAUAAUAGAAUUAUCAUAAAUUGAAAUAAACUAUACACUCACCAAGCGUGCUUACGCUCAUUACUUACACAAUUUCUUGCUAAAAUAAAUUCGAAAAAAAAAA